rnacentral:rRNA from 1 species
UACGUAGGGUGCGAGCGUUAAUCGGAAUUACUGGGCGUAAAGCGUGCGCAGGCGGUGAUGUAAGACAGGUGUGAAAUCCCCGGGCUUAAACUGGGAACUGCAUUUGUGACUGCAUCGCUGGAGUGCGGCAGAGGGGGAUGGAAUUCCGCGUGUAGCAGUGAAAUGCGUAGAUAUGCGGAGGAACACCGAUGGCGAAGGCAAUCCCCUGGGCCUGCACUGACGCUCAUGCACGAAAGCGUGGGGAGCAAACAGG